GAAACGCGAUAGUUAAUGUGAAUUGCAGAAUUCAGUGAAUCAUCGAGUCUUUGAACACACAUUGCGCCCAUAGGUAUUCCUUUGGGCAUGUCUGUUUGAGCGUCAUUACAACCCUCAGCUAACCGCUGGUUUUGAACCUGAACGGGUGACACCGCGCCGGUUUUAAAGUUGUAAGCUCUGCUGGCCGCUCUGCCCAACCAGAACAUAGUAAGUACUACUUGUCCGGGUGAAGCUGAACGGUACGGCCUGAACAAAACCUACCCACUCUCAAGGUUUGACCUCAGAUCAGACAAGGAUACCCGCUGAACUUAAGC
rnacentral:misc_RNA from 1 species